rnacentral:lncRNA from 1 species
UGCAGCUUUGCGGUUUCUGUUCGGUUCUCAGUUCGGGGAGGCUUAAUCCAGGACCGGCUGAUCUCUAUCCUGGGCUCCCAGUCCUAUGUGUCCCUGAGAGGAAGAGACUGACAUCAGAUCUGGUAGGACGUGAUACUCUUCAAUCUUGUCACCAUAACUUUCUCCUGGAGCCAUGGAAGCAUUAUUCAUAAUAACAAAGACCAGGAAUCAACCUAGGUGCUGUGCAAAGGGCACCCAGAGUGCUGGCGAGAGACCAGAAGAGGCACUACCACCCCCCAACAGAGCAAUUUCUCCAGCAACCACGAGGGCACAGAGGGCAGGGUCUCUCCUCUACACCAUGCUUGGUUGGACACUGCCUAGUUAUGAUUCCUUGGGAUUUCCAUAGCCCAAGCUGACCACUUCCCUUUCUGUCCAACCUUCCCCCACACCAACACCUUACAACACAAUUGAUUAAAUGCCUUCUACUAAAUGAUGUUCAUAUUCUGGAUCUGCCUUCCUCUGAUUACACCCAAAUCAUUUACUUUGAUUGCAGUCUUCUGAGGU